rnacentral:ncRNA from 1 species
UGCGGGACGACCCGCGCUUCCCCCAAAACUCGGGACGACCCGU